rnacentral:rRNA from 1 species
AGUGAACGCUGGCGGUAGGCCUAACACAUGCAAGUCGAACGGCAGCACAGUAAGAGCUUGCUCUUACGGGUGGCGAGUGGCGGACGGGUGAGGAAUACAUCGGAAUCUACUUUUUCGUGGGGGAUAACGUAGGGAAACUUACGCUAAUACCGCAUACGACCUACGGGUGAAAGCAGGGGAUCUUCGGACCUUGCGCGAUUGAAUGAGCCGAUGUCGGAUUAGCUAGUUGGCGGGGUAAAGGCCCACCAAGGCGACGAUCCGUAGCUGGUCUGAGAGGAUGGACCGCCCACCUGGGAACGGAGACCCGGCCCAGACUCUUACGGGAGGAAGCAUUGGGGAAUAUUGGACAAUGGGCGCAAGCCUGAUCCAGCCAUACCGCGUGGGUGAAGAAGGCCUUCGGGUUGUAAAGCCCUUUUGUUGGGAAAGAAAAGCAGCAGGUUAAUACCCCGCUGUUCUGACGGUACCCAAAGAAUAAGCACCGGCUAACUUCGUG